rnacentral:rRNA from 1 species
AGAGCUUGCUCUCGGGUGACGAGUGGCGGACGGGUGAGUAAUGUCUGGGAAACUGCCUGAUGGAGGGGGAUAACUACUGGAAACGGUAGCUAAUACCGCAUAAUGUCGCAAGACCAAAGAGGGGGACCUUCGGGCCUCUUGCCAUCGGAUGUGCCCAGAUGGGAUUAGCUAGUAGGUGGGGUAAUGGCUCACCUAGGCGACGAUCCCUAGCUGGUCUGAGAGGAUGACCAGCCACACUGGAACUGAGACACGGUCCAGACUCCUACGGGAGGCAGCAGUGGGGAAUAUUGCACAAUGGGCGCAAGCCUGAUGCAGCCAUGCCGCGUGUAUGAAGAAGGCCUUCGGGUUGUAAAGUACUUUCAGCGAGGAGGAAGGUGUUGUGGUUAAUAACCACAGUGAUUGACGUUACUCGCAGAAGAAGCACCGGCUAACUCCGUGCCAGCAGCCGCGGUAAUACGGAGGGUGCAAGCGUUAAUCGGAAUUACUGGGCGUAAAGCGCACGCAGGCGGUCUGUUAAGUCAGAUGUGAAAUCCCCGGGCUCAACCUGGGAACUGCAUUUGAAACUGGCAGGCUUGAGUCUUGUAGAGGGGGGUAGAAUUCCAGGUGUAGCGGUGAAAUGCGUAGAGAUCUGGAGGAAUACCGGUGGCGAAGGCGGCCCCCUGGACAAAGACUGACGCUCAGGUGCGAAAGCGUGGGGGAGCAAACAGGAUUAGAUACCCUGGUAGUCCACGCCGUAAACGAUGUCGACUUGGAGGUUGUGCCCUUGAGGCGUGGCUUCCGGAGCUAACGCGUUAAGUCGACCGCCUGGGGAGUACGGCCGCAAGGUUAAAACUCAAAUGAAUUGACGGGGGCCCGCACAAGCGGUGGAGCAUGUGGUUUAAUUCGAUGCAACGCGAAGAACCUUACCUACUCUUGACAUCCACAGAACUUAGCAGAGAUGCCUUGGUGCCUUCGGGAACUCUGAGACAGGUGCUGCAUGGCUGUCGUCAGCUCGUGUUGUGAAAUGUUGGGUUAAGUCCCGCAACGAGCGCAACCCUUAUCCUUUGUUGCCAGCGGUUAGGCCGGGAACUCAAAGGAGACUGCCAGUGAUAAACUGGAGGAAGGUGGGGAUGACGUCAAGUCAUCAUGGCCCUUACGAGCAGGGCUACACACGUGCUACAAUGGCGCAUACAAAGAGAAGCGACCUCGCGAGAGCAAGCGGACCUCAUAAAGUGCGUCGUAGUCCGGAUUGGAGUCUGCAACUCGACUCCAUGAAGUCGGAAUCGCUAGUAAUCGUAGAUCAGAAUGCUACGGUGAAUACGUUCCCGGGCCUUGUACACACCGCCCGUCACACCAUGGGAGUGGGUUGCAAAAGAAGUAGGUAGCUUAACCUUCGGGAGGGCGC